GAUGAACGCUGGCGGCGUGCCUAAUACAUGCAAGUCGAGCGAACAGACGAGGAGCUUGCUCCUCUAACGUUAGCGGCGGACGGGUGAGUAACACGUGGAUAACCUACCUAUAAGACUGGGAUAACUUCGGGAAACCGGAGCUACUACCGGCUAAUAUAUUGAACCGCAUGGUUCAAUAGUGAAAGACGGUUUUGCUGUCACUUAUAGAUGGAUCCGCGCCGCAUUAGCUAGUUGGUAAGGUAACAGCUUACCAAGGCAACGAUGCGUAGCCGACCUGAGAGGGUGAUCGGCCACACUGGAACUGAGACACGGUCCAGACUCCUACGGGAGGCAGCAGUAGGGAAUCUUCCGCAAUGGGCGAAAGCCUGACGGAGCAACGCCGCGUGAGUGAUGAAGGUCUUCGGAUCGUAAAACUCUGUUAUUAGGGAAGAACAAAUGUGUAAGUAACUAUGCACGUCUUGACGGUACCUAAUCAGAAAGCCACGGCUAACUACGUG
rnacentral:rRNA from 1 species